GUUUUAAGAAAAUUACAAGCAGGAGAGGAGAUUGAUCAUGGCUCUGCGUGGUUUGCACAAAGCCUCUAAGGGCUCAGCUUUGGGCAUGCAGAGUCCUGUUCCCUCCAUCAUGUCAAUAUCCUCCUCACCAAUCCUUUCCAACUCAAACGACUGAAUCAAGGCUCCCAAUGUCAGCCCCAUAACUCGCCUGCCCAACUUUGCCUCAGGACAAGCCCGUCUUCCAACACCAAAUGGAAUUAAAUGAUACCCCUCACCAUCCUCACUUUCAAAUCUUUCUGGCAUAAAUUUUGUUGCAUCAGUCCACAGUUUAGGGUCCCUGUGAAUGGUCCAUAGAUUGGCUAGUAGCAUUGUGCCUCCUGGCACAUGAAAACCACCAACAGUGCAAUCUUCGGAUGAUUCAUGUGGCAGGAGAAGUGGGACUGGUGGAAACAACCUAAAUGUCUCAUUAAUUACAUUUUGUAGGUAAUUCAGUUGUGGCAGGUCUGAUUCAUCAAGCAGGCGGUCUUCUCCCACGUGACUGUUUAUCUCCACCCAAGCCUUGUGCAUAGCAUCUGGAUGGUUGUGGACAAGUGAUAAUGCCCAUUCAGUGGUCGUUGCUGAACUUUCAGUCCCAGCAACUAGCAAUGCCUGCACAUAUCCGAUAAUACAAGAUGUCAGAGGUACUUCUUUGGAUGGUCCUCAAAGAAGGAAAGAGAUGUAUCAUGCUAUUUACCAGAACAAGGCCUUUGAUUGUUUUGUCAGUGUAGAAAUCUGCAUCUGUUUUUUGCAUCGAUAACAAAAGAUCAAUCAAAGUUUGUUUUUUCUGUUCUUUGUUGCUUGCAUCAAGCUUAUCCAAAUCUAUAGAUGAAUCAGUCCUUGUUCGGUGUUCAUCCAGGAGGUGCUGGAAAAACUUGUCUUGUUUCUUCAUCAAUUUCACCAUCCUUUUCUCCACUCCUUGAAAAUCCACCCACUGGAGCACAGGGAGGAAAUCACCUAAAUUUGAAUUCCGAUGAAGUUCCACUACCUCUCUCAUUAUUUCUUGAAAUUCCUUUGCUUCUUCAUCCUUCACAUCUUUUCCAUAACACCUCUUCCCUGCUAUCAUUCUCAGCAUACUAUUGAAUGAAAUAUCCACCAAUCUUGUUCCAAGCUUCACCCUUAUUGAGCUGGUGCUGGAAUCUUGGAACAGUUGCUUCAGCAAUUGCCUAACUUCCUGCUCCCGAAUGCCAGAGAAUGUGGCUAGGCGGCUUGUAGAGAAGAGCUCUAUUGUUGUAAGACGCCGGAGGUUGCGCCAGUGGUCCCCAUAGGAAGAUAAUCCUAUUGUGGUGUAGUUGUAAUUUAGAUGUUUUCCAGCAAGCAACUGAGGGCGAUUAGCAAAGAUAAUGUCAUUCUUUGUGAAGCAUUCUUCUACUGCAGUUGGUGAGGAUACUACAGGGACAUUUCGGGCUCCAAACUUGAGAAAUAAGAUGUGGCCAUGCUUCUCUGAAAGUUGGUGUAGAGUUCGAUGAACUGGUUCCUUCAACAAAUAUAGAUGACCUAUAAUUGGCAGAUCAAGUGGGCUUGGUGGAAGGUUUCUGAAGUUUGCAAAAUUCUGGGUAAUGAGCUUUGAAAAAAAGAGAAAAAAGAAG
rnacentral:misc_RNA from 1 species